rnacentral:lncRNA from 10 species
GGACUGCAAGAGAAUCAAUGUCUGUGAAAGAACAUUACAUGGCAUUUCCUACUGAAGAUGGGACUUAGCACAAAAACCAUCAUGGAUUCCAUCAAAGAGAUCAUUAAUGUCUCAAAACGUCUCCAAGGAUACAUGAUCUACAAAGGACCACAGAGUGCCCUGCAGAAUUGGGUUGAAAAACUAAAGAAGGCAAACAGAGUUUAUGGUAAGGCGGCAGUCUCUGGUCCCCGUUGUGAGAUUGGGUUCUUCCUGCCUGUUCCUGGAGUGGCAUGGAGAAAAGAGCAUGGAUUUGCAGAAGAGACACUUGAGAGAGAGAUACAACAAAGCUUUAAAGCACGAAAAAGAUGAACUCGAAACACCAGUGACUGGAGGAACCAUGACAACACAAACAAGAAGGAAACAAGAAAGAAAAAGCAUAAUCCUGGUUUUUGUGUUCUGAAUUGUGGAUUUGAAAUGGAGGCUCCCGUGGCUGCUGACAGCCUGCCUUGAUGCUGCUGAUGUCUGGGUGAUGAACAGUCAUGGGUUUCCUCCCACCUGCCUCUGUGGAUUAAUGAAGAGCAAGGCAGGAAUGGCAGACCUGCCAUCUGGAAUGACCUUACCUGAUAAGAUUGUUCUGCCUUCCCCGCCAAAGGUGAGGAGGGCUUUCAGGAUGCAGGAGACUGUUUUCCCCACAACUUAAUGAGAAAAAUUGACCUGUUUAUUCACCAGCUGUCUUCUUUGUUUCUAAUCCAAGCAAUUGCUGCAAAAUCUUUUUCACUUCUUCCAUGUUGAAAUUGAGCAGAAAGCCCCUCGAGUGGCUUAUCUUUGGCAGACAACAAGGAAUCAGGUUGGAGGAGUCACACAGACUCGCUGGGAGACACAUGGAAUGGGAGACCAGCAAAUAUUUACACACUGUGUUCAAGAUCCAUUCUUAGAAGUGUGAGCAUAAUUUAUGUGACAUUUCGAGCACUGUGCCAGUGAGCGCCUUCUCUAUGUACAAAAUGUGCUACUUUCGUUGUGGCUGUAUCACUUUUGGUGGAGUGCAGCCUUUGUGAGUUUCAAUGGUAUGGCGGCCUUUUCUCUGGGGCUUGAGUAAACACCACCACGGAAAGCUAUUGUUUUACUGUGUGAGCUAGUGUUUUCUCUAUAAAACUCGUAAAAGUGUGUUCUACCUGUUGUGAACUUCUUGCUGAAAACUGUUUACUUUUGGAAUAUGCAUAUAUGUUCAUAAAAAGGGAAUGAAAUCUAUUGGGGCCCCCAAACAAUGACAGAAAUCAGAAUGUUAAAAUAACUCCAGCAAUCUAGAUAUUUCCUGUAAGUUUUCUGUGAAUUCUGGAUCUUACAAUUUUUAAAAGACUUUAAUUUUUUUUUCUUUUCAAAUCUCCCUCUUCACAGAAUGGAUCUUGCAAUUUUUAAUAUCUAAAAGAAUUCUAUAGAUAAUAACAGCCAACAUCAAUAGCCUCCACAGUAUUCAAAGGGCAUGAUAUGUAUUUACUUACUUAAUUUUCCCUACAAUCCUGAGUCCGAAAUUAUCAUUAUAACCAUUGUAGCUAACAUACCCAAGCACACACAGAAAUUAAGUGGUAAAACCAUUGAGUUCAGGCACUGUACUUCAACUGCAUGUUCUUAAAUCCUAUGCUACAUUUGGCAGAACUGUGGUUUGUCCACCUUGGCACCAGUGACAUUUGAGGAUGGAUGAAUCCUUGUUGUCUAGGGCUGUCUCGUGCACUGUAGGAUAUUCAGCAGCAUCCCUGGCCUCAACCCAUCAACUGCCAGUGCCAUCCCCACAACCCCUCACUGUAACAACCCCAAAUGGCUCUAGAAUGGCCAGAUGUCCCCAGGGAGAACAAAAUCGCCCCUGGUUGAGAACCGCUGGGUAGAGCUACCUAAAAUUCCAACAUUGGAUUAUUCUUAACCUGCAAAAGUGGCAAUUUCAAUUGAACUUUGUCCAAUUGAAGUCUGUUCCUGGUCAAGCUUCCCUGAUAGACUAGUUUUUCAGAUGGGUUCAGAAGGGUGUUGAGUACAUGGGAAACGAGAGAUCUGGAAGGGCUUUGCAAACCCCAAAACUCCAGUAUGUGUAGCAGUCACAGAGACACCCCAGAUUCGGAAUAGACUGAGAUGAGAACCAAGGAACUGAUGGAGUUUGAAAUUACUUCACUUUAAAGCACACGUGCAGGUUAAUUGCUGACAAAGAAAGUUGCAGGUGGGCAUGGAAAGCUGGAGAGGGGUUCAAUGCAAAGUUUCUUAAAGGCUUAAACCAAUAAAACUCGAAUCCCAUUCCUCAUUCUCCAAGGAGCCCACUCCAUUAUGAAAAAGAACUUCAAGCAAAUUUGAAUCUUUCUUCACUGAGUUCUAACAUACUCCAGACCUGUAUUGUGGAAGCUCUUCCUAAAGUCCAUUUGUGUGGAAUGACUGCGCUGCUAUAUCCCAUCGUGGGCAAAGGAUACCUGCUAUGAAGGGCGAACUGGCAUCAAGCCUAAGUCUUCAUUAAGAGCAAGAACCACAACAUUUGGAGAUUACCAACAUGGUUUUCAGCCCUCAGCUUUGGCGAGACUUCUUCCUUUUCAUUCUUUUCUGGGCAAAUCUAAACCUUUGGAGAAGUAGAUGAGUGAAGUCAAUUGCAAAGGGACUGGAUCUCUCUCUAUCACCCAGACUGGAGUGCAGUGGCACAAUCGUGGCUCACUGCAGUCUUGAACUCCUGGCCUCAAGAGAUCUUCCUGCCUCAGCCUCCUGAAUGGUUGCGACUACAGUGACUGGAGUGUAGCUGCCGCCGCCACCACCACCACCACCACCACCACCACCAUCUUAUCACCGCCAGCAAUGAGAUCUCAAGACAUUCUGUAAACAUUUCUUUGGCAUGUAUCAGUGUCCCUGAGAGCGUUGAUAAUCUGCUUGAAUGUGAGCUCAAUGCUGGGACGGCCUCCCCGGACUUGGCAGGCAGCCCUUGAACAAACCUUUUGUGCCUGCAUCCCUCUGAUGGACAGGCACUGAGGAUGCCGGUGACCCAGCUUCUAGAAAGAAUCACAGCAGGGAAGGGGCAUUGCUAAGUAGUCUUCCAACCUGGGGACACAAGCUAAAAAUGAGAGAAAACUCAGAUCAACAGUGCUGCUGAGCUUAUUACGUUUAAGACGAAAAACAAUACCUGAUUAAAGCAACAAAACACCUGGAUAUUUUGCAGUUAGCCCCGUUAAUCAGAGAAGGAUGAGCCUUGGGGCUGUGGCUCAGGUUCCUAAUCCUGUUGCUAGAGUUUUUCACUUUUGUUCUCAUUUCUGCGGCUGACAUGGGAUCCUACAGAUUGUUUAUCCCAAGGCUGUCUGGGCCUGGGCUCUGUGAACAGUGUCACUCUAAAAAUAACAGGCUGUGCCGAGAAUAGCAGACUUUCUCCUUUUUCCUGCAGAAGACGACUUCUCAGCUCCUUGGAGGGGUCAGUACGAGGUGAGAGCCAUAGAAAGAUGGCAACGAAAAAGAAAGAGACAUUCUGCAAUGGGUUGAAUGGGGUCUCCCUGACAUUUACAUCACCCAGAACCUCAAAAUAUGACCUUAUCUGGAAACAGGGUCUUUUGAGAUGUCAUGGAUUCUGCUGCCAUCAGCAGAGAGACAGAAAGGUCUGCCCUCUGGAAGUCAGCUGAAGCCCAGUGCAAAGUGCAGCUGGUCAAGACAUUGUGGUUCUCAAUCAGGAACCCUUUGCAAUGUCAGCCUCCCCUAGGAUGAGUGAGCAAGCUUGGCGGGAAUAUGGGGGUGUUGAUUAUGGUCUCUCCUCUGGGACAUUCAGAAUCAAUCUGUCCGUCGCAAGAUCGAAAUAAAGUGGUGAUAUAGAUGAGUCUGAGAACUUAUCUACAACUCACAGCAGCAACUCUCUGUGUAAAUGUUAAUUGUACAAUCAGGGUAAAAAAAAUAACUCUAAUACCAUAUGUGCAUGUUAGGAAAUUAUCUAAGUGCAUAUGGAAUCGGGAGCUCAGAGGCUGAAGGAACUGAAAGGAUUUUCCAUAUAAAAUUCUUUACUGCAUGUUACAGGCUGAAUUGUGUUUCCUCAAAAUUUAUAUGUUAAAUCCUAAACAUUGGGACCUCAGAAUGUCACUGUAUUUGGAGAUAAGGUCUUUAAAGAGGUGAUUAAGGUAAAAUGAGGUCACUAAGAUGGGCACCAAUCCAAUAGGACUGGGGUCUUUAUAAGAAGAGAAUAUUAGGACACAGACAUAAAUACAGGGACGACCCUGUGAGGACAAAGGGAGAAGACAGCAUCUACAAGCUCAGGAGAGAAGCUUUAGGAGGAGCCAACCCUUCCCAUACCUUGAGCUUAGACUUCCAGCCUCCAGGACUGUGGGAGAAUAAAUGUCUGCUGUUUGUAAACCACCCAGUCUAUGGUGUGCUGUUAUAGCAGCCUGAAAUGGACUAAGCCAUCUCAUAAGAAGAGGAGACAGAUACACACAGAGGGACAACCAUUUGAGGACACAGGGAGAAGACAGUGUCUACAAGCUCAGGAGAGAGGCCUCGAGAGGAACCAGCCCUGCCCACACCUUGAUCUUGGAAUUCCAACCUCCAGGACUGUGGAGAAUAAGUGUCUGUUGCUUGUAAGCCAUUAAGUCUAUGGUAUUAUGUUACAGAAGCCUGAAAUUGACUAAGACAUCUCAUAAGAAGAAGAGAUGAGGACACAGACACACACAGAGGGACGACCACAUGAGGACACAGGGAGAAGAUGGCAUCUACAAGGCUACGAGAGAGGCUUCAGGAGGAACCAGCCGUGCUCACCCCUUGAUCUCAGAUUUCCAGCCUCCAGAACCGUGAGAAAAUAAAUCUUUGUUGUUUAAGUCACCUGGUCUGUGGAACUUUCUUAUGGAAGUCCUAGAAAACUAAUAUACUGCAUGAAAAGAAACCUUCCUAUAACAUCAUUCAUGAGGAUAAAUUUAGCUUGUAUUGUGUUUCUUCAUCGUCAAUAACUUAGAAUAAAAUGUGAGAAGAACAGUAAUGUAAACAUACUGAUAUUUACCCCAAAUGGGAAAAUUGUAGCUAGUAUUUUCCCUCAAGAAGAUCUGUUCCCUUUAUUAUAGAAUUGCUAUUCCAACCACUUCAAUAUUAUAAUUCCUACUAUCUUCCUUAACAUCUCUAUAAAAUAAACCUUAAACAUUUUCCAUCAACAUCUUGCAAAUCAAUUUGCAGGCCAAAAAUUAUUUCUAACAUCUUCCUGAAUUUUUUCAUAUGAUAAUUUAAAUUUAUACUCUCUUUGUUUCCUUUGUGAAAAAACAAUUCCUAGUUAGAAUGAGAAGAAAGCCCCAAUUAUGUUGGGAUUAAAUGCCGGGAACAAUUAAAUGUUGGGAACAUUUUAGUUCAAAAGAAGACCAUGUUUCAUUUCAUUUACCCUUCAAGAAAGGUAAGGUGAAUAUUAUCAUAUAUUUUUCCUCAAUUCCUUGCUAUUCACCCAU